rnacentral:rRNA from 1 species
GAUGAACGCUGGCGGCGUGCCUACCCCUUCAAGUUCGACCAAGCGCCCUUCCCGAUUUUUUGGAUUAAGGUUUUGUUACUUAGUUGCCGGCCGGUUAGUUACGCCUUGGUUACCCUGCCCUUUCCAGGGGAUUACCGGCUGAAACCGCCGCCUAUUCCGCCUUAGCCCCCCAGGAGGCCUUCUCCUUUUUUGAAAACUCCGGUGGUACAGGAUGGGCCCGCGUCUGAUUAGCUGGUUGGCAGGGUAACGGCCUACCAAGGCAACGAUCAGUAGCCGGUCUGAGAGGAUGAACGGCCACAUUGGAACUGAGACACGGUCCAAACUCCUACGGGAGGCAGCAGUGGGGAAUAUUGCACAAUGGGGGAAACCCUGAUGCAGCAACGCCGCGUGAGUGAAGAAGUAUUUCGGUAUGUAAAGCUCUAUCAGCAGGGAAGAUAAUGACGGUACCUGACUAAGAAGCGCCGGCUAAAUACGUG